rnacentral:tRNA from 1 species
GCUCCUGUGGUGGAAUUGGCAGACACGAUGGAUUUAGGAUCCAUUGCGAGAGCGUGCAGGUUCAAGUCCUGUCAGGAGCACCA